AGUGGGAGCUCAGUGGUUAGGACGUUGGGCUACUGAUCGGAAGAUCAUGAGUUUGAUUCCCAGCACCACUA